AGCCCGUGGAAUGGACAUUUCCUUAGAAGUUCUUUAAAACGUUCCCUCGCUUCAAAGAGAGUUUCUUUGUGUUCUUGGUCAAAAGAAAGAAUCUUGUUUCUGAGUUC
rfam:Helianthus annuus linkage group 13, whole genome shotgun sequence.